rnacentral:rRNA from 1 species
GUUAAGCGACUAAGCGUACACGGUGGAUGCCCUGGCAGUCAGAGGCGAUGAAGGACGUGCUAAUCUGCGAUAAGCGUCGGUAAGGUGAUAUGAACCGUUAUAACCGGCGAUUUCCGAAUGGGGAAACCCAGUGUGUUUCGACACACUAUCAUUAACUGAAUCCAUAGGUUAAUGAGGCGAACCGGGGGAACUGAAACAUCUAAGUACCCCGAGGAAAAGAAAUCAACCGAGAUUCCCCCAGUAGCGGCGAGCGAACGGGGAGCAGCCCAGAGCCUGAAUCAGUGUGUGUGUUAGUGGAAGCGUCUGGAAAGGCGCGCGAUACAGGGUGACAGCCCCGUACACAAAAAUGCACAUGCUGUGAGCUCGAUGAGUAGGGCGGGACACGUGGUAUCCUGUCUGAAUAUGGGGGGACCAUCCUCCAAGGCUAAAUACUCCUGACUGACCGAUAGUGAACCAGUACCGUGAGGGAAAGGCGAAAAGAACCCCGGCGAGGGGAGUGAAAAAGAACCUGAAACCGUGUACGUACAAGCAGUGGGAGCACGCUUAGGCGUGUGACUGCGUACCUUUUGUAUAAUGGGUCAGCGACUUAUAUUCUGUAGCAAGGUUAACCGAAUAGGGGAGCCGAAGGGAAACCGAGUCUUAACUGGGCGUUAAGUUGCAGGGUAUAGACCCGAAACCCGGUGAUCUAGCCAUGGGCAGGUUGAAGGUUGGGUAACACUAACUGGAGGACCGAACCGACUAAUGUUGAAAAAUUAGCGGAUGACUUGUGGCUGGGGGUGAAAGGCCAAUCAAACCGGGAGAUAGCUGGUUCUCCCCGAAAGCUAUUUAGGUAGCGCCUCGUGAAUUCAUCUCCGGGGGUAGAGCACUGUUUCGGCAAGGGGGUCAUCCCGACUUACCAACCCGAUGCAAACUGCGAAUACCGGAGAAUGUUAUCACGGGAGACACACGGCGGGUGCUAACGUCCGUCGUGAAGAGGGAAACAACCCAGACCGCCAGCUAAGGUCCCAAAGUCAUGGUUAAGUGGGAAACGAUGUGGGAAGGCCCAGACAGCCAGGAUGUUGGCUUAGAAGCAGCCAUCAUUUAAAGAAAGCGUAAUAGCUCACUGGUCGAGUCGGCCUGCGCGGAAGAUGUAACGGGGCUAAACCAUGCACCGAAGCUGCGGCAGCGACGCUUAUGCGUUGUUGGGUAGGGGAGCGUUCUGUAAGCCUGCGAAGGUGUGCUGUGAGGCAUGCUGGAGGUAUCAGAAGUGCGAAUGCUGACAUAAGUAACGAUAAAGCGGGUGAAAAGCCCGCUCGCCGGAAGACCAAGGGUUCCUGUCCAACGUUAAUCGGGGCAGGGUGAGUCGACCCCUAAGGCGAGGCCGAAAGGCGUAGUCGAUGGGAAACAGGUUAAUAUUCCUGUACUUGGUGUUACUGCGAAGGGGGGACGGAGAAGGCUAUGUUGGCCGGGCGACGGUUGUCCCGGUUUAAGCGUGUAGGCUGGUUUUCCAGGCAAAUCCGGAAAAUCAAGGCUGAGGCGUGAUGACGAGGCACUACGGUGCUGAAGCAACAAAUGCCCUGCUUCCAGGAAAAGCCUCUAAGCAUCAGGUAACAUCAAAUCGUACCCCAAACCGACACAGGUGGUCAGGUAGAGAAUACCAAGGCGCUUGAGAGAACUCGGGUGAAGGAACUAGGCAAAAUGGUGCCGUAACUUCGGGAGAAGGCACGCUGAUAUGUAGGUGAAGCGACUUGCUCGUGGAGCUGAAAUCAGUCGAAGAUACCAGCUGGCUGCAACUGUUUAUUAAAAACACAGCACUGUGCAAACACGAAAGUGGACGUAUACGGUGUGACGCCUGCCCGGUGCCGGAAGGUUAAUUGAUGGGGUUAGCCGCAAGGCGAAGCUCUUGAUCGAAGCCCCGGUAAACGGCGGCCGUAACUAUAACGGUCCUAAGGUAGCGAAAUUCCUUGUCGGGUAAGUUCCGACCUGCACGAAUGGCGUAAUGAUGGCCAGGCUGUCUCCACCCGAGACUCAGUGAAAUUGAACUCGCUGUGAAGAUGCAGUGUACCCGCGGCAAGACGGAAAGACCCCGUGAACCUUUACUAUAGCUUGACACUGAACAUUGAGCCUUGAUGUGUAGGAUAGGUGGGAGGCUUUGAAGUGUGGACGCCAGUCUGCAUGGAGCCGACCUUGAAAUACCACCCUUUAAUGUUUGAUGUUCUAACGUUGACCCGUAAUCCGGGUUGCGGACAGUGUCUGGUGGGUAGUUUGACUGGGGCGGUCUCCUCCUAAAGAGUAACGGAGGAGCACGAAGGUUGGCUAAUCCUGGUCGGACAUCAGGAGGUUAGUGCAAUGGCAUAAGCCAGCUUGACUGCGAGCGUGACGGCGCGAGCAGGUGCGAAAGCAGGUCAUAGUGAUCCGGUGGUUCUGAAUGGAAGGGCCAUCGCUCAACGGAUAAAAGGUACUCCGGGGAUAACAGGCUGAUACCGCCCAAGAGUUCAUAUCGACGGCGGUGUUUGGCACCUCGAUGUCGGCUCAUCACAUCCUGGGGCUGAAGUAGGUCCCAAGGGUAUGGCUGUUCGCCAUUUAAAGUGGUACGCGAGCUGGGUUUAGAACGUCGUGAGACAGUUCGGUCCCUAUCUGCCGUGGGCGCUGGAGAACUGAGGGGGGCUGCUCCUAGUACGAGAGGACCGGAGUGGACGCAUCACUGGUGUUCGGGUUGUCAUGCCAAUGGCACUGCCCGGUAGCUAAAUGCGGAAGAGAUAAGUGCUGAAAGCAUCUAAGCACGAAACUUGCC